UUUAUUGGAGAGUUUGAUCCUGGCUCAGGACGAACGCUGGCGGCGUGCCUAACACAUGCAAGUCGAACGAAGAUAUUAGAUGAAGCUUGCGAUUCUAAUAUUUUAGUGGCGGACGGGUGAGUAACGCGUGGGUGAUCUGCCCAUAAGUGGGGAAUAACAGUUGGAAACGACUGCUAAUACCGCAUACGCUACCGCAAGGUAGGAAAGGUGGCCUCUGAAUAUGCUGCCGCUUAUGGAUGAGCCCGCGUCUGAUUAGCUAGUUGGUGGGGUAAAGGCCUACCAAGGCGACGAUCAGUAGCCGGCCUGAGAGGGUGAACGGCCACACUGGGACUGAGACACGGCCCAGACUCCUACGGGAGGCAGCAGUGGGGAAUAUUGCGCAAUGGGGGAAACCCUGACGCAGCGACGCCGCGUGAGCGAUGAAGGCCUUAGGGUUGUAAAGCUCUGUUUUAGGGGACGAAUGUCUAGAUCAGUAAUAUGGGUUUAGAAUGACGGUACCCUAAGAGGAAGCCCCGGCUAACUACGUGCCAGCAGCCGCGGUAAGACGUAGGGGGCGAGCGUUGUCCGGAAUUACUGGGCGUAAAGAGCACGUAGGCGGGAAUUUAAGUCAGAUGUGAAAGACCGGGGCUCAACCCCGGGGUUGCAUUUGAAACUGGAUUUCUUGAGGGCAGGAGAGGAAAGCAGAAUUCCUGGUGUAGCGGUGAAAUGCGUAGAAAUCAGGAGGAAUACCAGUGGCGAAGGCGGCUUUCUGGACUGUCCCUGACGCUGAGGUGCGAAAGCGUGGGUAGCAAACAGGAUUAGAUACCCUGGUAGUCCACGCCGUAAACGAUGGAUACUAGGUGUGGGAGGUAUCGACCCCUUCCGUGCCGCAGCUAACGCAAUAAGUAUCCCGCCUGGGGAGUACGAUCGCAAGGUUGAAACUCAAAGGAAUUGACGGGGGCCCGCACAAGCGGUGGAGCAUGUGGUUUAAUUCGAUGCAACGCGAAGAAGAGCUUUGAGACAGGUGGUGCAUGGUUGUCGUCAGCUCGUGUCGUGAGAUGUUGGGUUAAGUCCCGCAACGAGCGCAACCCUUGCUAUUAGUUGCUAACAGGUAAUGCUGAGCACUCUAAUGGGACUGCCGGUGACAAGCCGGAGGAAGGUGGGGAUGACGUCAAAUCAUCAUGCCCUUUAUGACCUGGGCUACACACGUGCUACAAUGGAUGGUACAGAGAGCAGCAAGACCGCGAGGUGGAGCGAAUCUCAAAAAGCCAUUCUCAGUUCGGAUUGGAGUCUGCAACUCGACUCCAUGAAGUCGGAAUCGCUAGUAAUCGCGAAUCAGCAUGUCGCGGUGAAUGCGUUCCCGGGCCUUGUACACACCGCCCGUCACACCACGAAAGUCGGCAACACCCGAAGCCAGUGAGCUAACUCUUCGGAGAGGCAGCUGUCGAAGGUGGGGUUGGUAAUUGGGGUGAAGUCGUAACAAGGUAUCCGUACCGGAAGGUGCGGAUGGAUCACCUCCUUUCUA
rnacentral:rRNA from 1 species